rnacentral:lncRNA from 1 species
AAGAAGAAGAGGAAAUGGGGAAGAAGAAGGAGGUCGGGAGAGCUGGAGGAGAUGAACCCUAAUUUUAAUUUCUGAGAUGCAGAAGAUGAAUUGGGAAUUGGGGUAAUUGUUUAGGGAAUUAGGAUUAGUUGGGGGGAAUUAAGAAUGUUUAAUUAGUUUUAGGUUAAUUAUCAUAUGUGUAAAUUAAUUUUAUUAAAAAAAAAAAUUUUGGGUGCCAUGUCAGCAUCAUUUACACAGUCAGCACGCUACAUCAUCACUCGCCGGAGCUCCAAGCUCCGGCAGGGACCGGCUCCAAACGUUUUUCAAAGAGAGGGAUUUAAUCCACAAAUUUUUCCGGUCAGGGACCUGGUUCAGACGGCGACACAAAGACAGGGACUAAUAUGAGGAUUAAGCCUUUUUUUAAUAUAUUUUUAUCUAUCGUAAUUUACUAAUAUAACCCUUGGUCCACCGGUGAACCAAUAAUGAAAGUGUCCACCCUAGUGGGCACCGAUAUAUUAAUGGGUUAAAUAAUUUUUGGUCUUUUCAAAAUAGCAAAUUAUUAAUUUUUGCCGCUCAUUAAUUUUUUCGAUGAUGUGUACGGACAAUCAUCAUGCAUGUAGACAUUAGUUUCUCAUGUGCAAUUUUAUGACUUUUUUGCUUUUUUUUUUCUUAAUUCUUAUGUGGGUUAUGGAGGGACUAAAAUCUAAAAAUAUAAUCUUUCAUCUACCAAUAUGAAACUUAUAGGCAUUCCACUACCUGGGAGAUGAUUCACUUGGGUCAAACCUAACGACAUGUCAUGAGUAGGCUUGAUACAUUUUUUGUUUUCCGUGACUGGUUGUUGGCAUGGCCAAGUUAUGCCCAAUUUGCACUUGAUAGGGAAUUCUCCAACCAUUACCCCUUAUUGGUUCAGUGUACUUCUUAGGAUUGGGGCUUGAAGCCCUUCAGAGUGCUCAAUUGUUGGUUUGAGGAUCAUAGAUUUCAGGGGUUUGUGGAAGAAUUUUGGGAGGGUAUUCAAGUUCAGGGUUGAGGAGCCUAUGUUUUCAAAGAAAAACUAGAAUCGCUAAAAACUCGUUUGAAAGUGUGGAACAAGAAUUAUUUGGGAAUCUAAUUUAUAUAUAGCAAAAAUAAAGAACUACUGGAGAAGUUUUCAGAAUUGGACUUGAAAAAUAACGAGGUUCGUCUUAGUAUCGCGGAGCUCAAAAUAAGAAAGGAGGUAUUGGUCGAGUUCUUGAAGGUCUCUAGAUUAAAGGAGUCUCUUUUAUGUCAAAAAUCAAGGUCCAAGUGACUAAGUGGAUUAAAGAAGGCUACUCGAAUUUGAAUAUUUUUCAUUCCCUCGUGAGUUGGAGAAAGGCGAGUCAAUAAUUUAGUGGGAAUGAAAAUAGAGGGAAGGAGCAAGGAGAAAUCCAAACUAGUUAAUAAGUGGGUUGGAGAAUUCUUUGGAAAUAAAUUUAAGGAGGACAAGUGGGAAGUUCCAAGAGUUGACGAUGUAUUUUUCAGAAAAAUUUCUAUGGAAGAUAAUUUAUUAUUGACAACUAAAUUUGAGUCUUAGGAAAUCAAGGAUGUACUUUGGGAUUGUGGAGUCGAGACGCAGAUGAAAUCAACUUCAAAUUCAUCAAAACCUAUUGGCAUUUCAUGUCUCAUGAUAUCCAAAUACCUAACACCUUUCCUCUCCCAUCCUUAGCCUCAUUCAACCUUUGAUUCGAGCUUCUGGUGUAGAUUUGCUACCAACUUCAACCAACCACCACUGCCGCACAAGUCCGCUACCACCAAAACUUCCAGAUCUGCCACCAAACCUCCACAACCACCUAAACGCUCCGACCUCCACUGCCCACCGAAACCUGAUCUCAUUCACAGGUCCACAACCACCACAUCAUCUUCUGUUCUUCUCAACUACAUCAUCAUAUCUAGUUACAACAAUGAUGGGGAAGAUGUCUUCGACUUGGUUUGCAUCAUGUUGCAUCUAUCGCGUGAUGUUUAAAGGAAAAACAUAAAGAAAUUGUGAAAGAACAGUGACAGAGGUGGGAGGUUCUGUCAUGGUGGUGUGGCUGAGGAAGGUGGUGAAGCCAAAACACAGGGAGGGUGUCCCCGAAGGAUAGCUCAAGGGGUAAGAGCUAGGGACAUAAGGGUUUGGGAGGGUGAAAGGUGAAGGGUCCAGGGUUCGAACCCUAAUGAUGACUAAUUUACUAACAUUACUAACAACUAACAUUUACCUAUAAAAAUACAGAGAGGGUGUGUGUGUGUGUGAGUGAGAGAGAGAGAGAGAGAGAGAGAGAGAGAGAGAGAGAGAGAGAGAGAGAGAGAGAUGUAAUGGUCAAAGAUGGUGGAGGAGAAAGACCCACCGCUCCAACCUCCUUUCUCCUGCACGAAGUUCACAGUGUGCAGUAGGGGUGAUGAAGGGGAGGCUCAAGGCGGUGGCAUGGCUCACCGAGCAACCAAAGAGGGGCGGUGAGAAAAAAGGGAAGGAAGAAUUUUUGUAAUUAGAAUGGGCAUUUUUGUAAUUUACUUAAAAAACAGUAAUUGAACCAUAGUCAUUCACAUAAAAAAGAACUCACAGUAGUCGCAACAUUAAAACAAUCCAUAUUUCCUCUAUUAUUUUUUCGCAACAUUAAAACAAUCCAAGUUCGGUGACCGGAAAUUGAUGACGUGAGCGCUCCGAGCGAGAAUUGGGUUGGGCCCAAUAAUAUUAAGAAGAAGAAAACGAAGAAGAAGAAGAUUGAGAUUUUCAUGGUUGAUGCUAUAUGGAGAGAGUGUGAAAGUGUGGUGGUUAUUGAACUCAGAAUUAGAAGAUUAAGUUAGCAUAGGAGGUGAAAGUGAAAGCAAACAAAUAUGCCAUUUAAGUGGUUGCUUUUCAUUUUCUUUAACAAAAUCGAGCAAUUUAGGGGUUGACUAAGAUUUGUGUUUGCAACAAAUAUGCAUAUAACAAACCUUAUCUCUAUUUCUAUAAUGUAACAAGCUCACUAUAUAUAAGUUGUCACCACUCAAUUAAGGGUAUUUUGUUAAAAUAAAGUAAGUUAGUAAGGAAUGAAAAUAUUCAUAUACCAGCAUAAAAAUAUUCUCUACUUUUGGACCUCUUUCGGAUGAUUUUUAGUGAAGGGUGUGAUUCUUAGUGGAGGGUGUAGGCAAUUGAGGUAAUGGAGGGUGCAAGCAGGCUCUAUGGCUGAGGGUGCACACACCGAAUUUUAUAAUUCCUAACAACUUUCAUUGUUGCACACUAAUAAAAUUAGUAAAGCAUCAAUUUCAUCUUAUUACAUUCAUAACGUAUAUCGAAUUAGUCUCUAGUUCAAUAAAAAUGGUAGACAUUGAUGUCAAGGUGUGGGAAAAGGAUGAAAAAAUAAAACUGAUACAUUGCAGAAGCUUCUAAUCAUUGUUGUUAAUUACAAGUUACAAUCCGUCUAUAGGUUAUUUCUACCACUUCGAAAAAAACUCAAAUAACAUUCACUUUAAUUUAAUAUUUGUAUCAUAAUAUCAUAAUAUUAGAACAAAGACUGAUAUAUGAUAUAUCAGAAUUUUGAGAUGCCAUGUUUCAUGCUCUAAGAUGUGAAGUAAGUAUUACAGUAGUACUGAAAAAAUUUCCCAGCAAUACGCAUCAAAAUCAACUUCAAUAAACAUAAAACUUUAACUAAUACGCUAAUCGAUAUCCAUAUCCUUCCCACCCUUUUUACUUUUAAAGUCGUUUACCGCCUUAUCAAAAGUGCCCCUAACAUGCUGGCACAUAAGCAUCAUAUGCUGACAUGAAUCUUUUAACACCUCACGGGCUGGUUCCCCUGCAAAUGUAGAAAAAUGACACAUUGAACAGAAAAUUAUUAAAGUGGCAUUGAAUCAGAUGUCAAACAUAAGAGACAAAGUUAAGAUAAAACAAGAAUCAUUUGAAAAUAUGAGUGCAGGCAUUAAUAGUCUUGUUAUCCACAAUGAAACACAAACAAGAAGAUUUAAAUUACGACCGAUACCCCGUUGUGGAUUCUCUCCAGCAUUGUCCUAUAAUGUUUUCUACUUAAAAGAAGAAUUUUUUUUGUAGAUGUUUCACUGUUUAAUCAUUAUACAUUAGAGAUACACUAUCUAAACCUUUUACAAUGUGUUUAUACAAGAACUUCCACAACAAAGCUUCUCAAGUUCAACAAAGAAUUCUAAGACAUGAGAACUUUCUUAGUAUCACAAGUUAGUUAUAGAAUUAACUAGCUUAAAAAAAGUAUGCUGCCAAUUUUCAACUUCAUAUAAAUUAUCUACCAAAACCAAAAAAUAAAAGGUCAAUAGAACAUCAAGAUUGGCUAACAAAACUUAAAAUUUAUCCACCAUGAAAUUGCAUGUUACCUGUUGUUUGGACUCUAAUAUUGACACGAUUAUCUGAAGGAUGAGGAAUGCUGUACCCACAAAAUGUCACUCUCGGACUGCAAGACAACAUUAAAAACAAGUUUCUCUCAUUACAGUAUAUACAGAAAUAGAGCUAUUCAAAAGGAAGAUAUAACAUAUGUUUCUAAUAUUAUGUCCAACAAAGCAAAUCAUUCAAACAAUACUUAACAAGAACAUGUAAAACGAUAAAUUAAUUGAUGAAGCACCAUAAAAAGAAACAAAAUCAACAUCACUAGGAAUUUCUUAUCUUAAUAUCUCAAGUACUCUCCUCUCCCUGAAGGAUAAGGGGGAGGAGAUCUUCAAUCAAUUUAUUUGUUCCACAAUAAAAAACUAACUCAUGUUCCUUUUAUAGAUAUUAAUUAUACAUUUACAAUUUGGUGAACAAUGGCUAAACUGAAAUUCAUGGCAGAUGCAAGGUCAUCUUCAGAGCCCUAAACAUGUCCCUCAAGUGGUUCAAGGAAGUUCAAGACUUGAAGCACUGAGACUAUAAUGCAGAGUUUCUCAUGUUCCUUUGUUAUAUCUAGAAUCUUUUGUUUGAGGUAUAUCCUAUCCACCUUUAUCUAUAAUUUAAAACUUGUCUCCUUAAUAAAUUUCCAUUUUCUAUCAUAUCAUGACAUAUAGAAGACCACUCGACUUGAAACAUCAUAACACUUGGGUAGACUACAUGACUAAGUCAAACUCCAAAUUAUAAAAAACAAAGGAAGUGCAAUGAAGCUAAAAAGGAUUCUCUAGAUGCUGGACAAAGUGGUAGUCACACAAGAAUUGGCAAAUCACUAACUCUUGAUUCAAGGUGUAUCUGAUAGCGUUUGCAAAAGUAUGAUCCUCAUCUGUCAGAGAAAAUGUUGAUUUACUCUCAUCAGAGUGCGACCCGUGUUCCAUCACAAGUAAUCAGUCUGCACAAAAAGAACCCAUUUUAAGAACAAAAUCAAAAAAACUUUCAGAAACAGCUCAUUGAAAAAUAUAAGCAAUCGAGGUUAGGGUUUUGACUUGAUAUAUUAGGUGAUCCACACUUGCAUACCGUUGGAUAUACUUUAAUUGAAUGGCUAGGAUUAAGUGAAUGAUUAAAGGGUAUAGAUGUAAAUUAACAAUCCCUAGGACCAAAUUGCAUCUCCGCCACCUGCUACUCUGCACUUCACCACCUUCUAUCGUUGAUGGACAAAGGGGUUAAGGUCGAUGCUGGUUGCUUUGAUCUUCUAUUUAAUUUGUACGGAAGGCGUUUGAUGAGGUGGUAUUCAUUCUGAAUCAAUCAGUGUAGGUUGGGCAAUUGCUUCAUGUGCCCAGUUAGAAGCAACCAACUUAGGAAGGUGAAGGUCAAUUUAUUGCAAUGUGAUAAAGGGAUUUAUGGAUGACAAUAUCUCAGUUAGCAAUUCACGCCUAGAAAUGUAUGGAAAAUAUUGCUUGGAGAAUAUUUAAUAGGUUGGAGAGGGAUGCUGGUUAACUAAUGCACGGAGGGAGGGCGUUUGAAGAGGUUGGAGGGUGUAAGUUAUAGAAUUAGUAGAGGGUGAUUUCAGAUUCAGAUAUGUGGUAACAGUGGCGGAUCCAGGACCUCGGGGUCAGGGGGUUCAAAUUUUUCAAAUGAACACAUUGAUAUACCAAACAGUUUAGAGACUUACCUUAAAUUGAACCAGGUAAUACAAGAACGGAAGAAGCCAAGAGAACAAAAUACAAGUAAGGAAAUGAAGGAAAUAAGAUAAGUGCGACAAAAAAUACAACAAUACAUGAACCAUAUACUAAUGAUAUCCCGCCAUCUUCUUGGAGGAAAGACUUUAGAAAAAGGCCUCAUUAAAACUUUACUAGGAAAAACCCCCUUGGGAAAACCUAGUGAAGGAAAAAGAGUACCAAUUUCUAAAAUCUAAAGGUAACCACCAAGAAGGAAUAAAAGCAGAUAAGAGAAUUAUAAGCCUCCUCCAACACUCCACUGCCCAAAUGCCUUGAGCCAGAAUAUAUCCAAAGGAAGAACCUGCCUCACAAAUUAAAACAAUGCACAGUAAAAGACCUGCACUAAAUCAGCUCCCCUCUUCGGUGCUCCUUCCAUAGUAGCAUAAGUAGCAGUAGCCAUCUCCAUUUGAGUGCAAUCAUCAUAAAUUGGUGUCAAUUCAUAGCUGAAUUUAAUUCCACCACAAACAAAAGUUAUUGCCUAAACAGCACCUUGCA